UUCAAUAAUAUUAUUCAUUUAAACUAUCAACAGCCACCUUUUCCUGUCUUUUUUACGUUUAGGAAAAACUGAGAAGCAGAAAGGUCAGUGUCCUGUUACAACGUUGGUCACUGGGAAAAUUCGGUAUGCCGAUUUAAAUAGUGUGGUUCCAGACUUCAUGAGCUUAAGUACUGUGAAAUAUAAGGAGUCCUUAAUGAGUUUAGAAGUGGAGUGCUUUGUCUCCAUCUACCCCUGAGUCCACAAAAGGUAUCGCUGAGGGAGAAAGAGCCCCAAAUAUGGCAUGGUCACACACUCUUUCUACCCUCCAUUGAAGAGCUCAGAACAUAUGACCUUUUUUUUUAAGCAGAAAUGGGUUGAGAAUAGCCACAUGCCGAAUGAGCCCUCUGCCCUUAUUUCUACCUAAAUCCAGGCAUUAAUUUCCCAUGAGAAAGAUGGCUGCCUCGAACCAGGAAGAGGACAAGAUUCUUAUGGCCAGAGGGGACAAUGGCUGCCAAGAUGAAGAUUCUGUGCAAACCAACCUUACUAAGAUAGCCCUUACUUCCCCUCCACUCCACGGGCUCACUGUUCACUUGCCCACAGUUUGCUCUUAUUGGUCCAGACUUCCUCCCCUUUCUCACUUUAGGCCCCACACCUCAGGUCCAGGGUUCACUGUCCGUUAGCUGAUCCAUGCCAGCUUCCUGCAUUGUUUGGUGUUGGGUGGUCCUAUUUUCAUCUGUCAGUUGGUGUCUGAUUCACACCACACCCUCGGCUCUUGCACAAUGGAGAAUUAAGGUUGAGAGGCUUGCUAGUGUUGCCUGUCACACAGGUAAUGGAGUCAGACUGGGACUCAACCCCCAACGUGUUUGCAAAGACCAUAGGGACAGCACAGCCCUGCACAGAAGAGUCCCAUGGAGUACGACUGCUUUCCUUUUGGAGAAGCUAGUGAGCUUCACCUCCCUCUCCCGAUGCUCCACCAAGGGGAUGGCCCUGUUUCAUGGCAAGAGGAAAAUCUGGCUCUGACAGAUCCAUUCUAUUCCAGACAAACUGCCUAUGCACCUAUUAGAAGUUCGUGUUACACAACCAGGUGUCUGAAAAGAUCAGAAACACCAGAUCCCUGCAUUUUCUCACCUUCUUCCUGACGCUCGCCACACAGGGUGAUCCAGUGCCACUUGGAAAGUCUUUCCGAACCGCUGACAAUCUAUUGUCAGCACUCUCAGCUGUUCUACUAUCACGCUCCACUCUCUGAAACACACCACAGCUAGCCACUGGUUUGUCGAGGAGUAUUUGGAUUGUCUCUAGUCUGGACUGUUACAAAUAGCUCUGUUCUGAAUAUUCUAAUGUGUGCAUCCAGCCACGUGAACAUGUUUCUCUACUACAUAAUGACAAAGCAUCUUCCCAAGUGAUGGGAUCCAAUGGAUAAGGCAUUCAUUGAGAGAGAAUGGUUCCUACAGCUCAGCAUCAUGACCAAGCACCAGCUUUCGUGUUUUGGGAUCUACAGUAUGUGUUUAGUAGUAUCAUUAUUUGCAUUUCCGUGGAGAUUACAACUUAAAUGUAUUUGCAUGUGCCUCUUAUUCUGCACAUAGCCUGAACCCUGUGUCUUAACUAGUUUGGCAAUUUUGUCUACUAACUAAAAAUAUUACCCCAUACUUAUUUGUUACCAUAGUUGACAUAUUUCGAUUGGCUUCCACUUUCUUAUUUUGUACUUACUAAAUUUUUUGUGUUUUCUAUGUUUCUUUUAACAUAUGUAUUUUAUCUAACAAACAUAUGUAUUUAAUCAA